AACGAACGCUGGCGGCAUGCCUAACACAUGCAAGUCGAACGAAGCCUUCGGGCUUAGUGGCGCACGGGUGCGUAACACGUGGGAAUCUGCCCUUCGGUUCGGAAUAACAGUUAGAAAUGACUGCUAAUACCGGAUGAUGACGAAAGUCCAAAGAUUUAUCGCCGAAGGAUGAGCCCGCGUAGGAUUAGGUAGUUGGUAGGGUAAUGGCCUACCAAGCCGACGAUCCUUAGCUGGUCUGAGAGGAUGAUCAGCCACACUGGGACUGAGACACGGCCCAGACUCCUACGGGAGGCAGCAGUGGGGAAUAUUGGACAAUGGGCGAAAGCCUGAUCCAGCAAUGCCGCGUGAGUGAUGAAGGCCUUAGGGUUGUAAAGCUCUUUUACCAGGGAUGAUAAUGACAGUACCUGGAGAAUAAGCUCCGGCUAACUCCGUGCCAGCAGCCGCGGUAAAGUAUCG
rnacentral:rRNA from 1 species